CAUCAUUUGCUCACUCUCAAGUUUUUUCAGACCUACAGUAUAUGACUGACUUUCUUCCUUGGAACAUAUAAAUUUUUUGAAUUUGCCAGUACAAAGUCCUUGAAUUUAAUUGGUCAGGCAGUCUUCUAAAGAUGUUGGUAUAUAGCUGCCUCUUACGUAGUUUUGUUUAUCCUGAAGUCGCAUGCUACCCUACGCAAACCUCCAACUAACACAUGGUAAGCAAGGCAAGAGAUGUUGUAGUGAGAGUGCAGCAUGUUUGUAGGUCAUGGUCAUUGGCGUUAAUAUUGAGGUUAGUGGUUUAUUGGUAAAUAAACCAACAAAGGUAAAGUUAAAAUGUAUGUUAUUUCCUGUAUGUGUUUCUAUCUGUGGUAUUCAAGGUAACCGAAAGGAAACUGGGACAGAUGUUUCUGUGUACAGAUCUGCUUAUGGCUCUGUUCUUCUUGGUUCAGUCCAGUCCUUGGACCUACUACAUCUACUGCUUGCUCCCUCUGCCUGUGUGGUUCUCUGUCAUGAGGAAAUUUGAAACUCUUGCCGGACUUGUUUGAGCAAUCCCCUCAUUACCACUCAGCAAAUGCUUUGGAUAUUUUUUGCUAGUUACUUUUGGAAUUGAAUUACUUGUAAGUGCUCGAUUAGCUGUGUGCUAGACAUGGUGCAUGCUGUUGUCUGUGUUUGAGUGUUAGCGCUAUUUUGCACUCUAGUAAUUAGAUGUGUUAACUAUUUCACUUCUAUUUCACUUCUUUCAUUUCCUGUCUGCUGGUUGUGAGUUUUUUCUAUCAGGCAAUGUUGACCUUGGGGCUGCUUGUGCUGGCACUGUGGCCUGUGGUUUCUGGCCUUUACACAAAAGGUCUGAAAGUAGUGUUUUUUAAUACUCGUUUUUGUGUUUUAUACUGUAGUUCAGUUCAUUGAGCUGGAUUUUGAGCUGUCUCUUUCUGGCUGUGUUUCCACUGUUGCCUGUGGUGGGACAGGAACCAGACAUUAACUGUGUGUGAGCACUCUUUGUUCACUUAAACCUGUCAUACACAAUAAUUUGUGGUCAUUUUCUUCAUUUAAACUUUUAAACACAUUCAUACGCUCUGAUUAUUAAAGCAGAAUGGCGUCAGGAAGGUUUAUCUUCUAAAUUGAAUGGAGACGCUCUCCUCUGUUCCGAAGGGAUCGUCAGCUGAUCAUCUGCCAGGUCAUUUUUGACUCUUUCUCUGUGUCCAUUUUCAUUUGCAUGUUCUGUGGUUUCGGUUAGUGGUCCCAUGGAAUGCAGCUGUAGUAAGGGUUUCAUUUUGAUUUUGUUUUUAAAUUAUUUACUUAUUUUUAUGAUUUAAUUUAUUAUUAGCCUGCAGUUUCCUCAUGAACCCCCAAAGAGAUCUGCAAAUUCCAGUUGAGAAGCCCUGUGUUUAAAAAUAGUGAUCCAGGGUACAGUUCUGUAAAGAGUAGGUUCAGGCGAGUUAGAGAAAUUCAGUAUAUGACAUGAAAACCAUUUAAAUAAGGCAAAAGUAAGGGAGAAUAGAAGGGGCUAUAAAGUAAAUACACUAGGAAGUAAUGACCAAAAUGCAAAUGGAAAAUACACAUAGUAAUAGGGUAUCCGCUAUUGACUGAGUAUAAUUUGCCUUUUAUAGUAUAUACUGCAUUUCCUGUUGCUGAUUAUCUCUGAAAUUUUAUGAUAUCUCUUGCAACAGCAGCAGACAGAAACAAGCAACAUUUUGUAUGUGUUUAGCUAGUAAAACCAAAUAGUAAAAAUCAAAACAGAACUUUUUUUUGUACACAAGACACAUUACUGUUACUCUACUGCAAACUAUUUCAGAAUCAAAUUAUUUUAACCUAUUUUAAAUAGUAGAUACAAAAUCAAAAAAGAUUUGAUCUCUAGUAGGCUAUUCCUUUCACACUUGCAUUUAGCCUAAAUGUAGCCUACUGUGAGAUUGGAAAUGUAUUGUCUUGCCCCAAAAUACAUUUUGGUUUAUAUUUUGGUUUAUAUUUUAUUUAUAUAUUUUUUAAAAAUAUAUUUUGGACAACUUUUUAUUUAUUUAUUUCCAUAUGGGCUAAAUGGGCAUUACAUCUAAAUUUAACCUACUUUAAACUCCUCCGGGAAUCUUAUUUGUGUACAUUUGUUUGCAGAUGAUGCAGGUGAUGCUGUGUGCUUACACCCUGACCAGCACACACCCAAGUCUGCAGCUGAAGCAAGGCUUGCCUCUCUUUAACUAGCUUGUUAGCUUGCUCACACUAGGUUUGCCAUCUCCAUUCCCAUGAUGCUUUAUUACCAAUUUUAGACUGUAAAGGGAUAGUUUGCCCAAAAAUUACACUUCUGUCAUUGUUUACUCAUCCUCAUGUCAUUUCAAAUCUGUAUGGUUUUCUGUCUUCUGUGGAACACUCAUAAAGUCAUAAAGAUUUAAAAUGACAUGAGGGUGACAAAAUGGUGAGAUGAACCCUUGAUGCAUGACUGCUAACCAGUGAAUUGCACUUCUUCUUUUCAUCCGUCCUGUUCAUACUUUAACCCUUGCUCUCUAACACUUUGUUUUUUAGUUUCCUCAUUUUUGAUAACGUUGUUAAGUUCCACCAGGCUCUUCUCACACACUUCUGAGUAUCCUGAUGUCCUUAGUUUGUGUCUACCUCCUCCUGAGCACAGGCUCUCCAGCAUUGAUUUGGCUGAAAACAUUGACAUUACCAAGAUCAGGCAGCUGAGGCUGGAUGACAUUCGGAAAUAUUUCUUCUUUGCAUCCUUUUGGACUACAAACUAUUAUUUGUGUCUUUUGAUUAUUAAAAAAAUGUUUACACUAUUAUAUAAAUAAUAUAGUUCCUUAACUGUUGUAAUAGUUGUUUUUCAUUAUCAUUGCAUUCUUCUGCUGUGGUAACAUUGCCUCUAUUAAUAGGUAAGCUGCUCAUUUUGAAGUAAAACUGUGCUAUUAAAUAAACUUAAAUAAAUAAAUUAUCUUCCCUCACA